AAAAGUUAAGUCGUUUAAGUUGUGUGCAAGUGGUAGGAGAGCGUUCUAUUUGCGUCGAAGGUAUACCGACAAGGAGUGCUGGAGCGAAUAGAAGUGAGCAUGCAGGCAUGAGUAGCGAUAAUUAAUGUGAGAAUCAUUAACGCCGUAAACCCAAGGUUUCCUACGCGAUGCUCGUCAUCGUAGGGUUAGUCGGGUCCUAAGCUGAGUCCGAAAGGGGUAAGCGAUGGCAAAUAGGUUAAUAUUCCUAUACCAACAUUAGUGUGCGAUGGAAGGACGCUUAGGGCUAAGGGGGCUAGCGGAUGGAAGUGCUAGUCUAAGGUCGUAGGAGGUUAUACAGGCAAAUCCGUAUAACAAUACUCCGAGAACUGAAAGGCUUUUUGAAGUCUUCGGAUGGAAAGAAGAACCCCUGAUGCCGUCGAGCCAAGAAAAGUUUCUAAGUUUAGCUAAUGUUGCCCGUACCGUAAACCGACACAGGUGGGUGGGAUGAGUAUUCUAAGGCGCGUGGAAGAACUCUCUUUAAGGAACUCUGCAAAAUAGCACCGUAUCUUCGGUAUAAGGUGUGCCUCCCUUUGUAUUAGAAUUCACU
rnacentral:rRNA from 1 species